AAAAGAAGACAACCUGAGUCCACAGGAGAAAUGGACAAGCUCCUGGGAGCAUCACUCUUGAUUCUGUGGCUUCAACCAGACUGGGUAACUAGUCAACAGAAGGGUGACCAGCAGCAGCUCAAGCAAACUCCAUCCUUAAGUGUGCAAGAAGGAGAGAUUUCUAUUCUGACCUGUGACCACAAUAAUGACUUAUUUGAUUACUUCUCAUGGUACAAAAAAUGUCCUGCUAAAGGUCCCAAUUUCCUGAUAUCGAUACUCUCAGUUAUGGAUAAAAAUGAAGAUGGAAGAUUCACAGUCUUCCUCAACAAAAGUGCCAAACACCUGUCCCUGCACAUUGCAGGCUCCCAGCCUGGAGACUCAGCCUUGUACUUCUGUGCAGCAAGCUUGAAUACAGGAGAUUCAAUCAAAAAGAAAUCGGCAUUGUGUCUGCCUUCAGGAAACAUCUGCAGCGUUCUGGAAGCAAUUGCAACGGGCCUCACUCUGAGCUCCAAGGUUAACUGCUGCUUAGGAAGCCCAUCAGAAGCUGACCUAGCCCACUCUCCUGAAAGGGCUUUUGAGCACGCUGUUGUGGCAGUUGGCCUAUAA